rnacentral:rRNA from 1 species
GACAGAGGGUGCAAACGUUGCUCGGAUUUACUGGGCGUAAAGCGCGUGUAGGCGGCUUGGCAAGUUGAAUGUGAAAGCCCACGGCUCAACCGUGGAAGCGCAUCCAAAACUGCUUCGCUCGAGUCUCGGAGAGGAAGGUGGAAUGCUUGGUGUAGAGGUGAAAUUCGUAGAUAUCAAGCAGAACACCUGCGGCGAAGGCGGCCUUCUGGACGAUGACUGACGCUGAGACGCGAAAGCGUGGGGAGCAAACAGG